rnacentral:rRNA from 1 species
CCUACGGGAGGCAGCAGUGAGGAAUAUUGGUCAAUGGACGAGAGUCUGAACCAGCCAAGUAGCGUGAAGGAUGACUGCCCUAUGGGUUGUAAACUUCUUUUAUAUGGGAAUAAAAUGUUCCACGUGUGGGAUUUUGUAUGUACCAUAUGAAUAAGGAUCGGCUAACUCCGUGCCAGCAGCCGCGGUAAUACGGAGGAUCCGAGAGUUAUCCGGAUUUAUUGGGUUUAAAGGGAGCGUAGGUGGAUUGUUAAGUCAGUUGUGAAAGUUUGCGGCUCAACCGUAAAAUUGCAGUUGAAACUGGCAGUCUUGAGUACAGUAGAGGUGGGCGGAAUGCGUGGUGUAGCGGUGAAAUGCUUAGAUAUCACGAAGAACUCCGAUUGCGAAGGCAGUUCACUGGACUGCAACUGACACUGAGGCUCGAAAGUGUGGGUAUCAAACAGGAUUAGAGACCCCGGUAGUC